rnacentral:rRNA from 1 species
GACGAACGCUGGCGGCGUGCUUAACACAUGCAAGUCGAGCGGAGCGGCGAACGGGUGAGUAACGCGUGAGUAACUGCCCCCCUCUCUGGGAUAACAGUUGGAAACGGCUGCUAAUACCGGAUAGUGUGGGAUGACUCGCGUCCUAUCAGCUUGUUGGUGGGGUAGUGGCCUACCAAGGCGACGACGGGUAGCCGGCCUGAGAGGGCGACCGGCCACAAUGGGCUGAGAGACGGCCCAAAGGCCAACGGGAGGCAGUAGUGGGGAAUAUGGCACAGUGGGGGAAACCCUAAUGCAGCAACGCCGCGUGCGGAAUGACGGCCUUGGGGUUGUAAACCGCUUUCGGCCAUGACGCGGUAGUGGCAGAAGAAGCACCGGCUAACUACGUGCCAGCAGCCGCGGUAAUUC